AAAGGGGGAGAGCGUGGAUAAACAGGCAUUGAACUAGAGCAGAGGAUGAUGAGUUCAAAAACAAAGGUGUGGAGAUAUGAACAAAGGAGGAGAAGGUAGAAGAAUUUAAUAAAAAUCUUUUUGGAAUGAAUUGUUUUGCAGGAAAUCAAGACUUCAAGACUCCUCGUUGCGUCUAAGUCAUAGAGUCUGUUUUAGAAGUUUUGAUGUAAUUUUGAGUUUCAAAUUGUAUUUGGAUUACACGCGAGGGGUUCGAUGUUUUGGUGAUGACAUUGAGCUUCGUUUUUUCUUUAAAUUGUAAUUUGUGAGUUUAUGUGUGUUUUGUCACGAAAUUGCCAAAGGGGGAGAUUGUUAGGUCCUAUGUGUUGGCAAGUUUCGUGGGUCG
rnacentral:lncRNA from 1 species